GGGCGAAAGACUAAUCGAACCAU
rnacentral:ncRNA from 4 species